rnacentral:rRNA from 1 species
GAUGAACGCUAGCUACAGGCUUAACACAUGCAAGUCGAGGGGAAACGAUAGAGAAAGCUUGCUUUUUCUAGGCGUCGACCGGCGCACGGGUGAGUAACGCGUAUCCAACCUGCCCAUCACUUGGGGAUAACCUUGCGAAAGUAAGACUAAUACCCAAUGACGUCUCUAGAAGACAUCUGAAAGAGAUUAAAGAUUUAUCGGUGAUGGAUGGGGAUGCGUCUGAUUAGCUUGUUGGCGGGGUAACGGCCCACCAAGGCGACGAUCAGUAGGGGUUCUGAGAGAAAGGUCACCCACAUCGGAACUGAGAAACGGACCAAACUCCUACGGAAGGCAGCAGUGAGGAAUAUUGGUCAAUGGUCGAGAGCCUGAACCAGCCAAGUAGCGUGCAGGAUGACGGCCCUAUGGGUUGUAAACUGCUUUUAUAAGGGAAUAAAGUGAGUCUCGUGAGACUUUUUGCAUGUACCUUAUGAAUAAGGACCGGCUAAUUCCGUGCCAGCCGCCGCCGUAA